GCUACAUGCGUUGCGGGUGAACUUUAAUAAUAUUUUUCGACUAGUGAAACUCUUAGCCGACCUGAGUACUAGACUAUAUCGAUAAAACCGUCUAGCGCCCACAUUUUUCAAGGUUUUGUAAGUGUAAAUGAAAUUUUGCUUUGAUUAUCAAUGUACAUCUACAAGCCAAAACUGUUUAAACCAUCCAUUAUAAAGUUAUAAUCAAGUAUCGACGCUAUAUUCCACAUUGGGAGGGUGUGCAAUCUUGGGAACGGACUCUAUGCUGCUUGAAUAUCUAUAUCUCCCUCACACUCCCCUUAGCUGAAUAACGGAAAUCUAUUAGAGGAGGCCAUGUUUACGAGCAAGACGGAUAAUACAUUGGAUAAGCGCCCUCUUACAUCACAACUGUAUAAGGGGUUGUCCAUGGCGUCCGCGAUAGGAGGAAACGUCGGGCAUCAGUUCCUGUCGAAAGCGCUCGUGGUUGCGAGAAAAAUCAUCCAGCGCUCUAACCCGUCGUAGCAGUCGCUCACCACUGCUUAAGGUGAUAUGGUUGUUGUUAAUUGCUCCAAGACUCUGUGUGUCGGGGUAAAAAACGUUUGUGGCAAUAGCAGGGGCGGCUGUAGGGCGACGCUGUUCUCUGGGCGCUCCACUAGGUCUUCCGUUAGCAUUAGCAUCUGCAAG